CGCAGCCGCGGUAAUUCCAGCUCCAAUAGCGUAUAUUAAAGUUGUUGCAGUUAAAAAGCUCGUAGUUGAAUUUCGGGAUCAGUACGCUGGUCAUGCCUUUGGUAUGCACUGGUGUCACUGGUUUCUCCCUUCUGAAGAUCCGUGAUGUCAUUAAUUUGGUGUCGCGGGGAAUCAGAACUGUUACUUUGAAAAAUUAGAGUGUUUAAAGCAGGCUCACGCUUGAAUACAUUAGCAUGGAAUAAUGAAAUAGGACGUUUGAUUCUAUUUUGUAGGUUUCUAGGAUCGACGUAAUGAUUAAUAGGGAUAGUUGGGGGCAUUAGUAUUCAAUUGUCAGAGGUGAAAUUCUUGGAUUUAUUGAAGACUAACUACUGCGAAAGCAUUUGCCAAGGAUGUUUUCAUUAAUCAAGACGAAAGUUAGGGGAUCGAAGACGAUCAGAUACCGUCGUAGUCUUAACCAAUAAACUAU
rnacentral:rRNA from 1 species